rnacentral:rRNA from 1 species
AGCGUACACGGUGGAUGCCCUGGCAGUCAGAGGCGAUGAAGGGCGUGCUAAUCUGCGAUAAGCGCCGGUAAGGUGAUAUGAACCGUUAUAACCGGCGAUACCCGAAUGGGGAAACCCAGUGUGACUCGUCACACUAUCAUUAACUGAAUCCAUAGGUUAAUGAGGCGAACCGGGGGAACUGAAACAUCUAAGUACCCCGAGGAAAAGAAAUCAACCGAGAUUCCCCCAGUAGCGGCGAGCGAACGGGGAGGAGCCCAGAGCCUGAAUCAGCAUGUGUGUUAGUGGAAGCGUCUGGAAAGGCGCGCGAUACAGGGUGACAGCCCCGUACACAAAAGCGCAUGUGCUGUGAGCUCGAUGAGUAGGGCGGGACACGUGGUAUCCUGUCUGAAUAUGGGGGGACCAUCCUCCAAGGCUAAAUACUCCUGACUGACCGAUAGUGAACCAGUACCGUGAGGGAAAGGCGAAAAGAACCCCGGCGAGGGGAGUGAAAAAGAACCUGAAACCGUGUACGUACAAGCAGUGGGAGCACCCUUUGGGUGUGACUGCGUACCUUUUGUAUAAUGGGUCAGCGACUUAUAUUCUGUAGCAAGGUUAACCGAAUAGGGGAGCCGGAGGGAAACCGAGUCUUAAUUGGGCGUUAAGUUGCAGGGUAUAGACCCGAAACCCGGUGAUCUAGCCAUGGGCAGGUUGAAGGUUGGGUAACACUAACUGGAGGACCGAACCGACUAAUGUUGAAAAAUUAGCGGAUGACCUGUGGCUGGGGGUGAAAGGCCAAUCAAACCGGGAGAUAGCUGGUUCUCCCCGAAAGCUAUUUAGGUAGCGCCUCGUGAAUUCAUCUCCGGGGGUAGAGCACUGUUUCGGCUAGGGGGCCAUCCCGGCUUACCAACCCGAUGCAAACUGCGAAUACCGGAGAAUGUUAUCACGGGAGACACACGGCGGGUGCUAACGUCCGUCGUGAAGAGGGAAACAACCCAGACCGCCAGCUAAGGUCCCAAAGUCAUGGUUAAGUGGGAAACGAUGUGGGAAGGCCCAGACAGCCAGGAUGUUGGCUUAGAAGCAGCCAUCAUUUAAAGAAAGCGUAAUAGCUCACUGGUCGAGUCGGCCUGCGCGGAAGAUGUAACGGGGCUAAACCAUGCACCGAAGCUGCGGCAGCGACACUGUGUGUUGUUGGGUAGGGGAGCGUUCUGUAAGCCUGCGAAGGUGGCCUGUGAGGGUUGCUGGAGGUAUCAGAAGUGCGAAUGCUGACAUAAGUAACGAUAAAGCGGGUGAAAAGCCCGCUCGCCGGAAGACCAAGGGUUCCUGUCCAACGUUAAUCGGGGCAGGGUGAGUCGACCCCUAAGGCGAGGCCGAAAGGCGUAGUCGAUGGGAAACGGGUUAAUAUUCCCGUACUUGGUGUUACUGCGAAGGGGGGACGGAGAAGGCUAUGUUGGCCGGGCGACGGUUGUCCCGGUUUAAGCGUGUAGGUGUGUGUUCCAGGUAAAUCCGGUUCACUUUAACACUGAGGCGUGACGACGAGGCACUACGGUGCUGAAGCAACAAAUGCCCUGCUUCCAGGAAAAGCCUCUAAGCAUCAGGUAACAUCAAAUCGUACCCCAAACCGACACAGGUGGUCAGGUAGAGAAUACCAAGGCGCUUGAGAGAACUCGGGUGAAGGAACUAGGCAAAAUGGUGCCGUAACUUCGGGAGAAGGCACGCUGACACGUAGGUGAAGUGAUUUACUCAUGGAGCUGAAGUCAGUCGAAGAUACCAGCUGGCUGCAACUGUUUAUUAAAAACACAGCACUGUGCAAACACGAAAGUGGACGUAUACGGUGUGACGCCUGCCCGGUGCCGGAAGGUUAAUUGAUGGGGUCAGCGCAAGCGAAGCUCCUGAUCGAAGCCCCGGUAAACGGCGGCCGUAACUAUAACGGUCCUAAGGUAGCGAAAUUCCUUGUCGGGUAAGUUCCGACCUGCACGAAUGGCGUAAUGAUGGCCAGGCUGUCUCCACCCGAGACUCAGUGAAAUUGAACUCGCUGUGAAGAUGCAGUGUACCCGCGGCAAGACGGAAAGACCCCGUGAACCUUUACUAUAGCUUGACACUGAACAUUGAGCCUUGAUGUGUAGGAUAGGUGGGAGGCUUUGAAGUGUGGACGCCAGUCUGCAUGGAGCCGACCUUGAAAUACCACCCUUUAAUGUUUGAUGUUCUAACGUGGACCCGUUACCCGGGUUGCGGACAGUGUCUGGUGGGUAGUUUGACUGGGGCGGUCUCCUCCUAAAGAGUAACGGAGGAGCACGAAGGUUGGCUAAUCCUGGUCGGACAUCAGGAGGUUAGUGCAAUGGCAUAAGCCAGCUUGACUGCGAGCGUGACGGCGCGAGCAGGUGCGAAAGCAGGUCAUAGUGAUCCGGUGGUUCUGAAUGGAAGGGCCAUCGCUCAACGGAUAAAAGGUACUCCGGGGAUAACAGGCUGAUACCGCCCAAGAGUUCAUAUCGACGGCGGUGUUUGGCACCUCGAUGUCGGCUCAUCACAUCCUGGGGCUGAAGUAGGUCCCAAGGGUAUGGCUGUUCGCCAUUUAAAGUGGUACGCGAGCUGGGUUUAGAACGUCGUGAGACAGUUCGGUCCCUAUCUGCCGUGGGCGCUGGAGAACUGAGGGGGGCUGCUCCUAGUACGAGAGGACCGGAGUGGACGCAUCACUGGUGUUCGGGUUGUCAUGCCAAUGGCACUGCCCGGUAGCUAAAUGCGGAAGAGAUAAGUGCUGAAAGCAUCUAAGCACGAAACUUGCCCCGAGAUGAGUUCU